CGAGUGGCGGCGGGCGGAGGCGCUGCCCGGUGUCACGGUCACCGGCAAGUCGGCCGAGGUACGGGUCUUCCCGCCCGUCC
rnacentral:tRNA from 1 species